UUGAGGGUCUCUAUCGCAUCAGAUUACUCCAUCCUAUACAGCCAGGCCAGUGGAGCAUCCAAGUCAGGAGUCAUGGACAAAUCACAUUCAAUGUAAUAGGUGACAGCAGUGUAGAUUUCUUGUAUUACUUUGCCACAAUAAACAACGAAACACACCCAGGUCUAGCCAGAGUGGAAGGCAAUCCAGUGGCAGGUGUCCCUGCUUUUCUGGUGCUGGCUGUCACAGGUCUGGCUCCUGAUCAGGAGGCUUCUUUCAGUCAUGUGACUCUGAUAGGAGCCAGCGGGGAGAGCCUCAUUCAAGUGGUACUGAACUCCUCCUCUUCCC